AUGUGCGGUGUUUUACUUGAGUGGACAUAAACACCAUCUAGGUAUGCCUUAAAUAGAGAGGAUUAUAGGAAACCUGGUAUCACAAAAGGUCAUUAUCUAGCCCAACAAUGUCUUCAUCCACUAGUUGUACUCUAAUGCCCUCUCGUCCGAAUACAAUGCCCUUGAUAUCAGGGAAACAUCAUUUGUGGUUUAAAAGUUGAUCUAUUGUAUUGAAUUAUUUAUAUUCCAAGUUUUUAUCAUCUAUAUGGUGGAAAAAGGUGCCUUACAACCUUAACCUAUGUUUGGACAAUUCACUCAUGCAAUUUGGCUAAAUUUUCCCUGGUCUUUAUUUUAUUUUAUUUUGAGAAACGAUGUGGCAUAUUGAAUAGAGGGGAUUAUAGGAAACCUAGAGGGGAUUAUAGGAAACCUAGAAUCACAAAAGGUCAUUAGCUAGCCCAAUGAUGUCUUCAUCCACUAGUUGUACUCUAAUACCCUCUCGUGCUAAUACAAUGCCCUUGACAUCAGGGAAACGUCAUUUGUAGUUUAAAAGGUUAUCUAUUGUAUUGAAUUCUUUAUAUUCCAACUUUUUGCAUGGUUUAAAAAAUGUGCCUUACAACGUUAACCUAUGUUUGGACAGGUCUCUCAUGCAAUUUGGCUAAAAUUUUCAUGGUCUUUAUUUUAUUUUGAGAAACGACAUUGCAAAUUGAAGUGUGGUGUUUUACUUGAGUGACAUAAACAUCGUUUAAGUAUGCCUUGAAUAGAGGGGAUUAUAGGAAACAUAUUAUCACAAAAGAUCAUUAGCUAGCCCACUAAUGUCUUCAUUCAGUGUGUUGUACUCUAAUACCCUCUCAUUCGAAUACAAUGCCCUCAAUACCAUAGAAACACUAUUUUUAGUUUCAAAGUUGGUCUAUUCGUUUUAAUUCUUUAUAUUCCAACUUUUUAGCAAUUGUAUGAUGGAAAAAAGGUGCCUUACAACCUUAACCUAUGUUUGGACAGAUCUCUUAUGUAAUUUGGCUAAAUUUCCCAUGGUCUUUAUUUUAUUUUGAGAAACAGUGUGGCAUAAUAUAGUGUAGUGUUUUACUUGAGUGGACAUAAACACCAUCUAUGUAUGCCUUGAAUAGUGGGGAUUAUAGGAAACCUAGUAUCACAAAAGGUCAUUAGCUAGCCCAAUGAUGUCUUCAUCCACUAGUUGUACUCUAAUACUCACUCAUGUGAAUACAAUGCAGUCAAUAUCAUAGAAACGUCAUUUGAGGUUUAAAAGCUGAUCUAUUGUUUUGAAUUCUUUAUAUCCCAACCGACCAUUUUCAGGUCAAAAAUUGUAGGUGUUAGCCUUCUGUAUUAUUGAAAAUGGUCAUUCAUGGCAAUUUUCGAAAAAAUGGGGUUG
rnacentral:lncRNA from 1 species